rnacentral:rRNA from 1 species
CCUACGGGAGGCAGCAGUGGGGAAUAUUGGGCAAUGGAGGCAACUCUGACCCAGCAACGCCGCGUGAAUGAUGAAGGUCUUCGGAUUGUAAAGUUCUGUGAUGGGGGAUGAACACAAUGACGGUACCCCAAUAGCAAGCCACGGCUAACUACGUACCAGCAGCAGCGGUAAUACGUAGGUGGCAAGCGUUAUCCGGAAUGACUGGGCGUAAAGGGUGCGUAGGUGGUUUAGUAAGUUGGCCGUGUAAUUCCGGGGCCCACCCUCGGCGCUACCGCCAAAACUAUUAGACUAGAGUGCAGGGGGGGUAAGUGGAAGUCCUAGUGUAGCGGUGGAAUGCGUAGAUAUUAGGAGGAACAUCAGGGGCGAAGGCGACUUACUGGACUGUAACUGACACUGAGGCACGAAAGCGUGGGGAGCAAACAGGAUUAGAUACCCCGGUAGUC